UGGUUUUAGCUUAAUUAAAGUGUCUGAGUUGCAAUCAGAUGAUGUUGAUUAGAGUUCUGCAGGCCUUGGAGC
rnacentral:tRNA from 1 species